CUUGCCAACCGUGGUUCCAUCUCCCCUUCCCCCAGUGGAGACAUACCCUUAGAAGGCUGAUGUACUGACAUCAAGAAACAUAACCACUUCUGUCCAUGCGGCUCUGAGCAGGCCCUGCUACCCUGGAAAUCUCAAUUUGGCCAUUCCCACCUGCUUCCUGCUGCAGUUAUGGCUUCUCUAAUUCUCCUCCAGCUAUUCAAAGUUUGAAGAAUGGCAUGCUGAAAGGGGGCAACCCAGUAGUGCUCAGAUACAGAUUUACAAAAGAAACUUGCAAACAUUUCAUACAUGUGAGGAAGAAAAAUGACAUCAGAAAGGAAAGAAAGCAGAGCACCAAAUACUAGCAAAAUGAAGAGCUAAUUCCUUUUCAUUCUAUGUAAGCAUGUAUGAAAUUCAGAGAAUCACAAACAAGCCUAUGCUGACCACAGUAAUGUAACAAGGAAAUCAUAUGGAAAACAGAUAUUACUUUUAAAACUUAUUUGUAAAGAAUCAUAUAUUAUAAGAAAUAUUCAUAAAAAGGUGCUUUAAUUAUCUUCCUGUUAAAUAAGGAAUACAACAUCCCAUA